rnacentral:misc_RNA from 1 species
AACGCACCUUGCGCUCCUUGGUAUUCCGAGGAGCAUGCCUGUUUGAGUGUCAUUAAAUUCUCAACUCCUGAUGGAGCUUGGAUAUGGGAGUCUGCGGGCCCAAUAGAUGGGUCGGCUCUCCUGAAAUACAUUAGCGGAACCGUUUGCAGUUGCGUCACUAGUGUGAUAAUUAUCUACACUGUGAUGGACUGCUCUCUGAGGAGUUCAGCUGCUAAUCGUCCGUUUGGGACAAAAGUACAGUGAUGACUUGACCUCAAAUCAGGUAGGACUACCCGCUGAACUUAA